UACCAGCACCCCGAGUGGUCGGGACGUUUAUUGGGCCUAAAGCAUCCGUAGCCGGUUCUACAAGUCUUCCGUUAAAUCCACCUGCUUAACUGAUGGGCUGCGGAAGAUACUAUAGAGCUAGGAGGCGGGAGAGGCAAGCGGUACUCGAUGGGUAGGGGUAAAAUCCGUUGAUCCAUUGAAGACCACCAGUGGCGAAGGCGGCUUGCCAGAACGCGCUCGACGGUGAGGGAUGAAAGCUGGGGGAGCAAACCGG
rnacentral:rRNA from 1 species